rnacentral:rRNA from 1 species
CAGCCGCCGCGGUAAUACCGGCGGCUCGAGUGGUGGCCACUUUUAUUGGGUCUAAAGCGUCCGUAGCCGGCUUGGCAAGUCCCCUGGGAAAUCUGGCGGCUUAACCGUCAGGCGUCCAGAGGAUACUGCCAGGCUUGGGACCGGGAGAGGGGAGAGGUACCUCAGGGGUAGGGGUGAAAUCUUGUGAUCCCUGAGGGACCACCAGUGGCGAAGGCGUCUCACUAGAACGGGUCCGACGGUCAGGGACGAACGCGGGGGGCACGAACCGGAUUAGAUCCCCGGGUAGUCCCAGCCGUAAACGAUGCUCGCUAGGUGUCAGGCAUGGCAUGACUGUGCCUGGUGCCGAAGGGAAGCCGUGAAGAGAGCCACCUGGGAAGUACGGCCGCAAGGCUGAAACUUAAAGGAAUUGGCGGG